CACUGGUUGUCACUGAAGAUGGAAAAAUUCAACAGCAAGUUGACUCUCCUUUAAAUCUUAAACAUCCACAUGACCUUGUCAUCUUCAUGCGACAGGAGACCCGUGUCAACUACCUGAAGAAGUUAGAGAAGCAGCUUGUCGCUCAGAAGAUUCACAUUGAGGAGAAUGAGGACAGGGACACGGGCUUGGAGCAGAGGCACUAUAAAGAGGAUACCGACUGUGUCAUGGCUAAAGUACCCCUGGGAGACUUGGAUCUCUACGAUGGUACCUACAUCUCCCUGGAGAGUAAAGACAUCAGGUAAGCCCAGGCUGUGCACUCUUGACCAAUCAUUUGGUUGUUACUAAUGUGCCCUCACAUAACUUAUUAUCAUGGGGAAGCACUGAUAAGGGAUGUUGACAU